UGGGGAAUUUUGCACAAUGGGGGAAACCCUGAUGCAGCGACGCCGCGUGAUUUAGAAGGCCUUCGGGUUGUAAAAAUCUUUUCUAUGGGAAGAAAAUGACAGUACCAUAGGAAUAAGGACCGGCUAAUUACGUGCCAGCAGCCGCGGUAAUACGUAAGGUCCGAGCGUUGUCCGGAAUCAUUGGGCGUAAAGGGUACGUAGGCGGGUAAGCAAGUUAGAAGUAAAAUCCUGUAGCUCAACUACAGUAAGCUUUUAAAACUGCUCAUCUUGAGAUAUGGAAGGGAAAGUGGAAUUCCUAGUGUAGCGGUGAAAUGCGCAGAUAUUAGGAGGAAUACCGGUGGCGAAGGCGACUUUCUGGUCAUAAUCUGACGCUGAGGUACGAAAGCGUGGGUAGCAAACAGG
rnacentral:rRNA from 1 species